UAACUACUCCCUCUGUCCCAAAUUUCUUAUCUUAGAGUUUUCUAGAUACAGAUGUAUCUAAUACUAAAAUGUGAUUUGAUACAUCCGUAUCUAGACAAAUCUAAGACAAGAAUUUUGGGACGGAGGAGUACUUU
rfam:Triticum urartu cultivar G1812 contig1181730, whole genome shotgun sequence.